rnacentral:rRNA from 1 species
CCGCCAGAGUAUUACGAGCCCAAGCUUAAAACUCAAAAGACUUGACGGUGUCCCACCCACCUAGAGGAGCCUGUUCUAUAAUCGAUUUUCCCCGCUACACCCAACCACUUUUUGCCCCCAGUCUGUAUACCUCCGUCGCAAGCUUACCAUAUGAACGCCCAUUAGUGAGCAGUAAGGCCCCACGCCAACACGUCAGGUCAAGGUGCAGCCAACAAAGUGGAGAGAAAUGGGCUACAAUUUCUGCCACAGAACACACGAAAGACCCAAUGAAAACCAGUCACGAAGGCGGAUUUAGCAGUAAGAAGAAAA